rnacentral:lncRNA from 1 species
GGUUGGAGGGUUAUGAGAAACUUCAACACCUUUAAUUUUCUUGUGUAUAUGUGGCAGCAAUUUUUCAGAUGUAAUCUUGAAGGAUCGAGAACAAAACAAAGGCCUCAGAGCGCGCUGCGUGGAGCUUGACCCGUUAGUCAAGGGUCACUUGUUAUCCAGUGAUGCUGGACGAGGUGGUUGGAGCACAGACGGGCCCUCAACACAACCCGACCCCUGUGGAGCCGUCGCUGAAAGAAAAACGCUCUCCAAUGUUCCCGAGUCCAGUCAGGCGCCCAGUAUUUAUCAAACCACCAAACCCCAUGAAGUCUUGUCUUUCUUCUUCUGUACCAGUAGGAAUCAGGGACUCUUGUACUGGUUCCUGAUUCAUGCGCAUGUUGACACAACACCAGGCACAGAGGGAACCAGAAUCAGCUGUUAUAAGAGCAUCAAUUGUUCACAUAUCAGUAUUAAAAUAUCAAUAACUGAAUCACUGGACAUCAAAUCCUGAUAGUAGUAAUCACAAGGAAACGAUAUGCUUUCUAAAGUAUAAGGCCUUCUACUCAGUUUGUAUUGUAAACGGACACAUUUGAAAGAAUUUUUUUGACUCUGGUGUUUAAUAGAUCGCAUCAUGUUAGGUUUACAGUGGAGAUAUUGCACAUUGUUUUCCAAAGGCGUCUUUUGUCCUAUAGAUGCUUUUGGGACAGUAUAAUUCAGAAUAAUUAGCAUAAUUCAGUACUUUACAGAGCUUUAGAGCCCUCUAGUGGUCACUACGUUUCAAGUAGAACACCCCCCCUUUACCAAUCUUCAUUAAAUUUUUUCUCUUUUUAAUGUUAAAUCUCUUAUUGGCUAAAAUAUAUCGUAUUUUCAAGGUAGGUGAGAUCAUAUCAUAAAAUAUCAGAAACCGCUUUUUAGUUCGGCUUAUGCAUACUUUUGUUUACUGUUAUAAAAUUGGGACUUUUAGGAUUGCUAUGCCAGAUGUCUUCCAAUUUGACGAUGUACUGUAUACAGACUUUAUUCUCGAAAUUCAAAAUGGAACAAAAAUCAAUCUUCCUCUUCUCAUUUUUUCCCUCAUGCCUGGUCGCCAAUACUCGUCCGUAGAUUUCUGAUCUGAAUGGAACAAGACGACAUGAAAAAUUAAAGAAUUUGCAUUUAAGA